UUAAAUAAAACCUUGUAAUAAUUAGGUAAGGUCAAUGUGGUGGAACCAUCUACAUACUGGUAUAAGAGAAAACAGGUUACUUACAGAAGGUUGGUAGAGCAGAAGGAUUAAAGCUCUAGCUGUCUGUCUGAUAUAUGUGUCUGAGCGACGUACGUAUAUUGUUUGGUAUUAACUCGGGUGAAAGGCAUCAAUUCAGCCUCGGACUAUUGACUACCAAAUUACCUCGACGAAAGUGAAUUUCAUCCCUUGGUCAACAAUCUACUAGGUAUAUUGACUUUUGUGGCAUUUUUUUUUUUCUUUGGUAGACUUUUUUAAACUGUUUUAAACUCACAUCUCUCUUCGUACGCGAUACGCUUUUUCUUUCGUUUGAUUAAACUCAAUUAAACAAAACUUAAUUUUAACCUAACUUAACCCAAUCGCAUCAAAAUGAAAAUAACGUCGCUGUCCUUACGUAUUUAUAACUUGGUCGUGGGCGGCGCGGCGUAUCGUCCAGUGUCCAGUGGAUUAGUCCAGCGACCAGUUGCCCAGUGAGUCCAGUUGACCGUCGCCAUGCCGAACGCGGAGACCACGAACCUCAUCGCUACUUACCUCAUUCUGGUAUUGCUCUUAGCAAGCCUGUGGCUAUUGUACUCUGGAUUAUUCUAAAACUAUGUUCGGCUCACAAGCAAGAUGAGGGGCGGCUAACUUUAAGAAACCGUAAUCGUAAUAAGUUAAGUUAAGCAAUAUAAGCAUUUAGAAAGAAAAAUUAAGAUGACAGAAGAUCAGAGGGAUGGCACCAACGGGAGAGAAGUGCAGGGCAUUCCAAAUAACACGUAAAGAGAGAAAGACAUCACAACUUUACGAAAGAAAACUCCGAUUUUGUUAGGAACGAGAUUUGUAAUAAAGUUUUUUAAUAAAUGUGAA